rnacentral:rRNA from 1 species
AGGACGAACGCUGGCGGCGUGCCUAACACAUGCAAGUCGAGCGAGGAGAUCCUUCGGGAUGAUCCUAGCGGCGGACGGGUGAGUAACACGUGGGCAACCUGCCUCAUAGAGAGGAAUAGCCUUCCGAAAGGGAGAUUAAUACCUCAUAACAUUGCAGUUUCGCAUGGAACAGCAAUUAAAGGAGCAAUCCGCUAUGAGAUGGGCCCGCGGCGCAUUAGCUAGUUGGUGAGGUAACGGCUCACCAAGGCGACGAUGCGUAGCCGACCUGAGAGGGUGAUCGGCCACAUUGGGACUGAGACACGGCCCAGACUCCUACGGGAGGCAGCAGUGGGGAAUAUUGCACAAUGGGGGAAACCCUGAUGCAAGCAACGCCGCGUGAGUGAUGACGGCCUUCGGGUUGUAAAGCUCUGUCUUCAGGGACGAUAAUGACGGUACCUGAGGAGGAAGCCACGGCUAACUACGUGCCAGCCGCAGC